rnacentral:rRNA from 1 species
UGGUGGCGAUAGCGAGAAGGAUACACCUGUUCCCAUGCCGAACACAGAAGUUAAGCUUCUUAGCGCCGAUUGUAGUGAAGGGUU